UGGGGAAUAUUGCACAAUGGGGGAAACCCUGAUGCAGCGACGCCGCGUGAGUGAAGAAGUAUUUCGGUAUGUAAAGCUCUAUCAGCAGGGAAGAAGCAAGACGGUACCUGACUAAGAAGCCCCGGCUAACUACGUGCCAGCAGCCGCGGUAAUACGUAGGGGGCAAGCGUUAUCCGGAUUUACUGGGUGUAAAGGGAGCGUAGACGGUAUGGCAAGUCUGAAGUGAAAGCCCAGGGCUUAACCCUGGGACUGCUUUGGAAACUGUUAGACUAGAGUGCUGGAGAGGUAAGUGGAAUUCCUAGU
rnacentral:rRNA from 1 species